GUGGAUAACCUGCCGUAUGCAGGGGGAUAACAGUUGGAAACAGCUGCUAAUACCGCAUAAGCGCACAAUACCGCAUGGUACUGUGUGAAAAGAUUUAUCGGCAUACGAUGGAUCCGCGUCCGAUUAGCCAGUUGGCGGGGUAACGGCCCACCAAAGCGACGAUCGGUAGCCGGCCUGAGAGGGCGGACGGCCACAUUGGGACUGAGACACGGCCCAAACUCCUACGGGAGGCAGCAGUGGGGAAUAUUGCACAAUGGGGGAAACCCUGAUGCAGCGACGCCGCGUGAGUGAAGAAAUAUCUCGGUAUGUAAAGCUCUAUCAGCAGGGAAGAAAAUGACGGUACCUGACUAAGAAGCCCCGGCUAACUACGUGCCAGCAGCCGCGGUAAUACGUAGGGGGCAAGCGUUAUCCGGAUUUACUGGGUGUAAAGGGAGCGUAGACGGCGCUGCAAGUCCGGAGUGAAAGCCCAUGGCUUAACCAUGGUACUGCUCUGGAAACUGUGGAGCUUGAGUGCGGGAGGGGCAGGCGGAAUUCCUAGUGUAGCGGUGAAAUGCGUAGAUAUUAGGAGGAACACCGGCGGCGAAGGCGGCCUGCUGGACCGUAACUGACGUUGAGGCUCGAAAGCGUGGGGAGCAAACAGGAUUAGAUACCCUGGUAGUCCACGCCGUAAACGAUGAUUACCAGGUGUCGCGGUACGAAGUACUGCGGUGCCGGCGCAAACGCAAUAAGUAAUCCACCUGGGGAGUACGUUCGC
rnacentral:rRNA from 1 species